CACAAGUGUCUCUCCAGAUUCUCCCCACAGGGUGCGGAGGGGUUGAUUUCUGAUUGCGAAUGCGAGAUUCUCUCCCCAGGGACAGAAGAGGUCCGUGCAUUGUUUGCCAGGCAGUUUUGGAGCACGUGGCUGCAAGAUUGGGUCCAUAUCUAUUUGCGGAGGGGUCAGAUAUAAGCACAGGUGGAGCUGAGGGUGUCGAUGAGCACAAGACCUCAACAUGCAGGCAAAUUCUUAUGACACAAGGCUCCGGGCACUUCCCAAGGCCUCAGUUUACAGCCGUUCCCUCUUGCUAGAGCGGUGGCGGGCAAACCCGCGGCAGGCACCAUCGGUUGUCUACGCAGCAUCCACUUCCAACUGCUUUCUCUGCCGGCAGGAGCCACUUCUCACAAAAGACUUGGAACGUGCCAACUGUUCAUCGCGACAUUCUCUCCUGCCGCCAGGUCAUGUGACCCAACUCUGGCCAAUGAGCCACAAGGAGGAAGUAUGAGAAAGGCUUCACUCUUUAAUACAGACUCGACGUGGGAACCGGCGCCGCCAUCUUGGACUGCCAGGCGGGAAGUCAGUCCAUGACAGACACGAGCGAUUGGUGACCUCUUGUCCUGCUGAAUUAACCGAAUCUGAAAUGAACUAUCCUGAGGCCUCUUGCUAAGUAAAAUAAUAAAACAUCCCUCACGUUUAAGUUAUUUGCCUUAGCCUGUUCUGAGACUGGGUUGAUAUAACACAAAUGUCACAGCCUGGGUGGCUUAAUACAACAAACAGAAAUUUAGUGCUCACCGAUCUUGGGGGCAGGGAAGUCCAAGAGCAAGGUGCCAGCAGAUUUGGUGUCUGGUGAGGGCCUGUCUCUGGUCCCUAGAGGGACACGGCUGUGUCCUCACCUGGGGAAAGCGGUGAAGGGCGACUCUCUGGGGCCUCUUUGAAAAGGGCACUAAUCCCAUUCGGGAGGGCUACACCCUUGUGACCUGAUCACUCCCCAGGGCCCCCACCUCCAUCGCCAUCACAUCGAGGAUUAGGUUUCAACGUAUGACUCUCGAGGGGACACAAACAUUCAGCAUAUAGCACCAUUUUAAGAGUAUAGUAUCACAGGCAGAUGAAGCGUCCUAAUUCACUCGUUGGUUAGUCUCUAAAUGGUAAAUCUAAGCCACACCUGGGAUGCUCUGUCCCCAGGCAGCAUAAGAUUCGAGCAGCCUUGGAUGAGUGUGGGGAAACUCCUUUGUAGGUGGUGCCGCUGGGCCUCCAGUGGCAUCUCAUUGGGUCACAUCUCUCAUGAGACGCUGGAAGGGACCAUGCGUCGGCCAAGUACUCCAGGAACCAGAGCAUCCUCCUCUUCUAGGCCGCCCAACCCAAUCGCUCUUCUCCAGCGUCACCUCCUCCCCUAACUCGUCUGGGAGGCACUUCUGAGUGAGGAGCACCGAGCUUUCAGACUCACAGUCAUCACCUAGAACUUUGCUACUCAAAGUGUGGUCCGUGGGACCCGGGAGCUUCUCAGGAACAUAGCUUCUCAGGCCCUGCCCCAGACCUUCUCCAUCAAAGCUCGAAUUUUAACAAGAUUCCCCAGGGGUUCCUAUGCACAUUGAUGUUUGAGAAACACUGACUUAGGAAAAAAGAUACCUUGUUCUAACUGGAGAUGCUUUCCCCCGGUCAUGAAAGCCAUUCUCCUGGGUGAAUUCUUCCCUCAAGUAGAAGGAUUUCUCUCCAGGAAACCCAAAGGCUGUGGCUUAACAGUCUUUCUACGGAUUCAUUCUCAUGUUCUAACUUGUGAGCUUGGAGUUGCCUGAAUUUGUUACUUUGAUAUAAUGAGAUAAAUACAUGAUCUUGGAUUCUCUUACUCUGUCUUCAUGAGAAGCUUCCAGAAAUAAAGAGUCAUCCAUAAGUCUUAGGGGAGUUGAGAUUAAAAAAAAACUUUUGCAACAUGAAAUUUUGGUCCAAAUGGGAUUUUUUUUUUUUUGCUGGUGAUACUAAUUAAGAUUCUCUGUAAAACUAGGCCAGCCCCAUGCUCUCCCGUUGGCAGUCUGUUUAGAAUCUCUCUGUAAACACGCAGUGGCUUGUACAAAUAGGGAGGCUUUACUUUCCCAUCAUAAAGAGGGCCUGAAAUAAAUCCCAGACAACUCUACAAGUUUGUCUCUGCCAUAAAAAUCGUGGAAUUCAUGGAGCGCUGUCUCACUGCACCCAGACAGGAUACGGGCUGGCCAGUAAUCGGCAAUGGGAACCAGCUGGUGGCGGGUUUCACCCCAUUCAGACCCGGGAAGGGGACGUUUAAAGGGGACAUUGAGCUCUGCUUUCUGGGACACUUAAAGCUUUACAUUCAGGUGAUG